rnacentral:rRNA from 1 species
UACGUAGGGCGCAAGCGUUGUCCGGAAUUAUUGGGCGUAAAGAGCUCGUAGGUGGUCUGUUACGUCUGCUGUGAAAACCCAGGGCUUAACCCUGGGCCUGCAGUGGAUACGGGCAGACUAGAGGUAGGUAGGGGGAGAAUGGAAUUCCCGGUGUAGCGGUGAAAUGCGCAGAUAUCAGGAGGAACACCGGUGGCGAAGGCGGGUCUCUGGGCCGAUAUUGACGCUGAGGAGCGAAAGCGUGGGGAGCGAACAGG